rnacentral:lncRNA from 1 species
GAACUUCCAGCCUCCAGAACUGGGAAGAAUUCACUUCCGUUGCUUAAGCCCCCAGUCUACGUAUUUUGUUAUGGCAGCCUAAGCUGGGCCUAGAAUGGUGCCUAGAAUAUAAUGCAUCCUUUGUAAACAUUUGGCUUUUAUUCCUCUUAGGUACUUAUAUCCUAUUUUGUGUCACACUUUCACAUUGGAAUUUGAAAAAGGUUUUACAGAAGGCUUCUCAACGAAAACAAUGCAAGCCAGAAGACCUUCAUGUUCUCACUUAUUUGUGAGGGAAAAAAAUUAAAGCAAUUGAACUGAUGGAGAUACAGAGCAGAAGGUUGGUUACCAGAGGCUGAGAAGGGUACGUGGGGGGUCAGGAGGAAGUAGGGCAUACACAAAGACAUCUGAGAAGUUUUCCAAUCCUUGACUUUGGCUCCAUCACUCCUUUUACAUCUCUAAAGAACAAGAAGAGUAGGUUCAGGAUACCUAUUUUAAUGCCUGGCAGUUAUUACAUGAAGAGUGUUAGCUCCUUUUCCAAAGUUUUAAGAUAACAAUAACUCAGUGAGCUCGUCUUUACAGAUGGUAUUAAGCAAGCAUCUCAGCACAAGGCUGAGGCCUCCAGCCUCAGACAUACUCUCAAAUUUCGUAUCUGAAGAUAUGUGCUCCACACUCCCUCAUGGCUCCCCUAAAUGACCCGCCGUCUCCACACACACCACACUGCACUGUGUAUUUUCUCAGGGUUCUGGCUCUUUAAGGGAUCCUAACUGCUGGCUUAGGCUGGGAAAUCUCUGUCUGUCAUUCACCUUGCAUCUCACAGCUGUUGCUUCUGUAGCCCUAAUGUCCCCAGGACUCAUCCUCAAGGCAUAGGCAUGGCAAAGACAGUGGGAAAUGCUGGAUCCUGGCCUCACCAGACCUGGGUCAUAAUUUCAACCAUGUCUCUGGGGCCAUUCACUACUCUGUAAAGCCUGAGAACUAAUGCUUGACUACAUAAAAUGAAUCCACCUGCUUUAUUAUUUAGUUGCCA